AAUGCCUAAUACUGUAAAAAAGCACAAAAGAAGAGACUACGUGAGUCCAGAUUAAAGAUAGAUCAUUAUUAGCAUUAAUAUCUUUGUUAACAUUUUUAUAUGCUAUUUUAAAUGUGUGAAUUGUGGUUGAUUUAGAGAUGAAUUUUAUUCAAGAGGUAGUUGUGUAGGUGUUUCCAACUGUAGAGCAAUGCUCUUUCGGGCAGUAAUUAAAUGUGUAGCUCUGGGGAAAGGUUGAGACUGAAGUUUUGUUUGUUUGUUUGUUAAAAUAUUUUAUUUAUUUAUUUAUGAGAGACACACAGAAAGAGGCAGGCUCCGCAUGGUUAGCCUCAUGUGGGGCCAGAUCCCUGGACCCCAAGAUCACGACCUGAGCCUUAAAGGCAAACACGCUCAACCACUGAGCUGCCCAGGUGCCCAAGAAACUGGAAUUUAAAUAAAAACUUAGAGAAAAAAGUGAUGGUUACCAGGGGCUAGGUGGAGUGGGGAGUUACUGUUUAAUGUUUAAUUCUGUAAGGGAUGAUAAAAAAAAUUCUGGAAAUGCAUAGUGAUAAUGUUUACACAUUCUUGUAAGUGUACUUUAUGCCAAGGAGUUGUACACUUAAAAAUGGUUAAAUUGGCAAAUCUCAUGUAUGCUUUACCACAAUUUUACAAAGCGCUGUCUCCACCUUAGGGUUUAAUCAGUUUUUAUAGACACAGUAUUUUCCAGUCAGGGAUCACUCAGUGGCCCCAGUUGGAAUGGCCUGCCUUUUGGGGAGGGAACCUGCAGCAAACCUGCUGCUUCCCACAGGUAGCAGGGACCCCACAGGGACCCCACAGGGGUGACCAGAAUGCUGUGUGUCCUGAUUAGCAUACGAAUUUACUGCUUAUAUUCAGAUGCUUUGAAAUGUGAAGGUUUGCUAUUUUUAAAUAUUCCAAGCUCCCUCCUUUCAAUGUCACCGCUUAAAGGCAGGGUUUUCAUGGGUGGCUUAGCUGUCAAGUGAAGGGUAGGUGUAAAGAGGCACAUCUUCCCGCUUCCUUCCGGUGAGUGAGUCAUUUCCGCUAAUGUGAGAUUUUAACUGGAACCAUCCAAUCCUGAUAUUUGGGGGCUCAUUUAUAUGGUAAAAGCAAGCUAAUCCUCCUGGCAAAGCAUUAAAAUGUUUUUGAAGCUCUGAUGCUUGAAUAAUAUUAGUAAAAUUGUCUCACGAAACUGGAAUGAAUUCUUUUCCACUUUUCAGAGGAGGGUGGCUUAGAAUGAAGACUAGGCCAGGGUGUCUGUACACACCGUAGGGUGCUUGCCAGAAGGCUGGCACCUGUGGAGCUGCGGUGUUUUUCUCUCUCUCACCCUGUCCCUCCUGGAGUUCCUCCUCUCUGUUUCUGAGCCUUCCCCCUGGCUUCUUUUCUCUCUCUCUCUCACGGGCCAUGCAUGGUAAAAGGCAGUGAGCCAAAUAUUAUUAUUGCCAUUUUACAGAUUUUACAAAUGAGAUCCAGGAAGGACACGUGACACACAGCUAGGUAUGGGAAGAGCCCGUCAUAAAACCCAUGUCUUGUGACUGGCUGGUCCCAGAGCUGCAGCCAGGGUUCUGGGGCCUGCAGUCCAUGAAGGGAGCUGGGACACAGCACCACCAGGCAGAUGGUUCCAGUGACUUUGCCAACCGGCAGGUGUGGUGCUGAGCACAGUUCAUUAUUAAGCUUCCCUGAAGCUGCUCCUAGGAGCUCCCAUUCUGGCUGCUGAGCAGCCCUCAUCCAUCCCUCCAGACUGGAAGAGGCUGUAGGAGGUGCUCAGUCAGAGGAGGCCAACAGACACAUAUACCCUCUGGAUUCUGGAGACGACGAUGCUGAGAUCCUUUCAAAGUCAAAACUGCCAACCAAAUUUAGCCAUUUUUUAGUCCACAUAGCUAGGGAAAUAUCAUGAUAAAAUUAUUUUCAAAAGAUUAAUUCAGUUGUCAUAUUGAAUUGUUAUCUAGUUCAUUCUAGCUACACAAAUACUGGAUUUGGGCAACUUAAAAACCUUUUUCCAGGGGGCCUGGGUGGCUCAGUCAAUUAAGGUCUACCUUUGGCUCAGGUCAUGAUCUCAGGGUCCUGGGAUCGAGCCCGGAGUAGAGCUCCCUGCUCAGUGGGAGUCUGCUUUUCCCAAGCAUUCGCUCUC
rnacentral:lncRNA from 1 species